GCAGUGCCUCAGAUAUCAGGCGGGACUCGGGCCAGCUGGAGCCAGAGCUGGAGACUUCGCGGGACAGAUUACACCAGCCCUAGGCUGAGAAGAAACUGAACUGAACUGUCCUUUGGAUACUCCUGGUGAUAAAAAAGAAAGGAGCGACUCUGGCAUUUGCUGGUGGAGACAAGGCAGAUUUGCCAGGCCAGACGACACCCGCGGGAGCCGCGGCCCAGAGACCCGCCCGGGCGACAGCGACUGGAGCGGAGCCCACAGGCCCGGGCCGGCUAGGCGGCGCGAGCAGGAAGCGGGGUCCCUGGGCCCCUUUGUGUGAAGGGCGAAGGAGGGGUGCGGGGCAGCCCCCGGCCGCGGGCUCCUUGGACGCCUGUCUUCCCGCGGGGGUCC
ensembl:lncRNA